UACGUAGGUGGCAAGCGUUGUCCGGAAUUACUGGGCGUAAAGGGCGCGUAGGCGGUGUGUCAAGUCAGGCGUGAAAGCCCCGGGCUCAACCUGGGAACCGCGCUUGAGACUGGCACGCUCGAGUUCGGGAGAGGAUGGUGGAAUUCCCAGUGUAGAGGUGAAAUUCGUAGAUAUUGGGAAGAACACCGAUGGCGAAGGCAGCCAUCUGGACCGACACUGACGCUGAGGCGCGAAAGCGUGGGGAGCAAACAGG
rnacentral:rRNA from 1 species